rnacentral:rRNA from 1 species
GGAUAUGUUAAUAGCAUACUCAUUUGACGUUAGCUGCAGAAGAAGCACCGGCUAACUCCGUGCCAGCAGCCGCGGUAAUACGGAGGGUGCGAGCGUUAAUCGGAAUUACUGGGCGUAAAGCGCAUGCAGGUGGUUUGUUAAGUCAGAUGUGAAAGCCCGGGGCUCAACCUCGGAAUUGCAUUUGAAAACUGGCAAACUAGAGUACUGUAGAGGGGGUAGAAUUUCAGGUGUAGCGGUGAAAUGCGUAGAGAUCUGAAGGAAUACCGGUGGCGAAGGCGGCCCCCUGGACAGAUACUGACACUCAGAUGCGAAAGCGUGGGGAGCAAACAGGAUUAGAUACCCUGGUAG